rnacentral:rRNA from 1 species
UACGUAGGGUGCGAGCGUUGUCCGGAAUUAUUGGGCGUAAAGAGCUCGUAGGCGGUCUGUCGCGUCUGCUGUGAAAUCCCGAGGCUCAACCUCGGGCUUGCAGUGGGUACGGGCAGACUAGAGUGCGGUAGGGGAGAAUGGAAUUCCUGGUGUAGCGGUGGAAUGCGCAGAUAUCAGGAGGAACACCGAUGGCGAAGGCAGUUCUCUGGACCAGCACUGACACUGAGGCACGAAAGCGUGGGGAGCAAACAGG